GCUGGGCAUGGUGGUGCGUGCCUGUAAUCCCAGCUACUCGGGAGGCUGAGGCAGGAGAAUAGCUUGAACCUGGGAAGUGGAGGCUGCAGUGAGCCAAGAUCACACCACUGCACUCCAGCCUGGGCGACAAAGUUAGAUCCUGUCUCAA
rnacentral:SRP_RNA from 1 species